rnacentral:lncRNA from 1 species
GAGCAAACACAGGCGGGGAGAGGAGCUGGAGGCAGAGGAAGCCUGGAGUUCCCUGCACAUUCAGCAGGGGAACAGGACAGAUUGAACAGAGUAGGCAAUAUGGAAAAGCUGGAAGAUCCAGGCUGAGAGGAAGCAGGUAAAGAGCAGGAAAAGCUUAAUAACACCAGGAAAGGCAGGCAGAGGGCACAGAUGGGCACUCCAGAAAAGAGAUUCUUGAAUGUUUGUGCUGGAACCUGGAGUCCACUAGUCUAGUAUUUAGGGGACAGAAAGCCCAAGGUCAAGAGCCUGGCCCCUAGAGGACAAAGGAGAACAAGGAUGGGAACCCAGAAAUAGUGGCUGGAAUCCUUGCAGCCGUCUUGGGCUAUGAGGCAACCUUUGGGACAGAAGCCAGCAUCAGGGCUGGUGAAUCAGAAAGAUAUAGAAAUCUCUACUGAAGAGGAAAAGGAUACUGGAGAUCUAAAAGAUAGCUCUCUCUUGAAAACAAAAAGGAAACAUAAGAAAAAACAUAAAGAGAGACAUAAAAUGGGAGAAGAAAUUAUACCAUUAAGAGUACUAUCAAAGUAAGUCUGUGGUUUAAAUUCUGUCAUUGGCUUAACAAUCCACCUCAAUGGAAACAUUUCACGUGUUAAACAACUCCUCAUUCCUGUGUCCCCACCCUUCUACCCCUCUACUUUCUGUCUCCAUGAGUUUGACUAAAUACUUCAUAUUAGCUG